ensembl:lncRNA
CAGAGCUGUUCAAAGGUUAAGAGGAAGAGAGAGAAGGGAAAGGGCGUCCAUGUUGGGCAGAGGGUGACUGAAGAGGAAACAAGAGAGGAAAAUAAAACAAGAAAAGUGAAAAGUAAAAUGGGAGAAGGAAGAGCAGGAAAGAAACAAACCUGCCAAUGAACCCAGAGGAAAGAAAUGGGAGGAGAGCCUAGAGGUAUACAGAUAGUCUUGCUUCUGAGCUUAUCUGGACCUACCUGAACCUGUGCUCUGGCCUCCCACUUUGCAACUAUCUCCCUCCCAUUGCUGACGUGGCCCUUGAUCAACUGCAACGGUAAGGUGAAAAUCACUGUGAACUGUAGCACACAAGCUAAAAGGUAACCCAUGUUCAGCUGCACUGAACUACUUGUUCUCCAAAAGGUAAAAGCUUUCUCUACAGACAGAGAUGGUGAAGGACAGGGAAGCCUGGCAUGCUGCAGUCCAUGAAGUUGCAAAGAAUCGGACACAACAGAGCGACUGAACAACAGACAGCUCUCUACCCUAAAAAUUCUUCCCCAGUCACUCCUCCAACCAUCCACCUCUGAAAAUUCCUGUUCAAGUGAUUCAGCCUGGAUUCUUCUCUGGAAAUCUUCAAUGACCACCUCAUGCAGGUGUCAGCUAAGCAAGACUGCUCUAGUCUCCAGGGCUCAAUAAAGACAAUGCCAUCCGAGGAGAAGAAGGACAUGCGAAGGAAGCCUACAUUGCUCUCCUCUGCCCAGAAACCCACUCCCCAGCAUGGACGACCCUCUGACGUUGCUCUCCCUUCUGGUCACUGUCACCAAGCCAGGAGGCAGAGGCUGAGAAUAUAUCCAAAAGGUUCCAAGCAGAGUUCUCAGGCCACAGCCUCCUCAGGAACCCUAAGAACAGCUGGACCUGUCUGACAUAGCCAACAGAAUGUUCAAGCAAG